rnacentral:rRNA from 1 species
UACGGAGGGAGCUAGCGUUGUUCGGAAUUACUGGGCGUAAAGCGUACGUAGGCGGUUAUUCAAGUCAGAGGUGAAAGCCCGGGGCUCAACCCCGGAACGGCCUUUGAAACUAGGUAGCUAGAGUCUUGGAGAGGUUAGUGGAAUUCCGAGUGUAGAGGUGAAAUUCGUAGAUAUUCGGAAGAACACCAGUGGCGAAGGCGGCUCACUGGACUGGUAUUGACGCUGAUGUGCGAAAGCGUGGGGAGCAAACAGG